UACAGAGGGUGCGAGCGUUGUCCGGAAUCACUGGGCGUAAAGGGCGCGUAGGUGGCCUGAUAAGUAGGGGGUGAAAUCUCGAGGCUCAACUUCGAGGCUGCCUUCUAAACUGUCGGGCUUGAGCAGAGUGGAGGCAGGUGGAAUUCCCGGUGUAGCGGUGGAAUGCGUAGAGAUCGGGAAGAACAUCGGUGGCGAAGGCGGCCUGCUGGGCUCUUGCUGACACUGAGGCGCGACAGCGUGGGGAGCAAACAGG
rnacentral:rRNA from 1 species